GACGAACGCUGGCGGCGUGCUUAACACAUGCAAGUCGAACGGAAAGGCACAGCUUUUGUGGGGUGCCAGAGUGGCAAACGGGUGAGAAACACGAGAGUAACGUGCCCUUGACUUGGGGAUAACUUCAGGAAACCGGGGAUAAUACCGGAUAGGAGCCGCUGCUGCAGGGAGGGGGUUGGAAAGUUUCGGCGGUUGGGGAUGGACUCGCGGCUUAUCAGCUUGUUGGUGGGGUAGUGGCUUACCAAGGCUUUGACGGGUAGCCGGCCUGAGAGGGUGACCGGCCACAUUGGGACUGAGAUACGGCCCAGACUCCUACGGGAGGCAGCAGUGGGGAAUAUUGCACAAUGGGCGGAAGCCUGAUGCAGCAACGCCGCGUGCGGGAUGACGGCCUUCGGGUUGUAAACCGCUUUCGCCUGUGACGAAGCGUGAGUGACGGUAAUGGGUAAAGAAGCACCGGCUAACUACGUG
rnacentral:rRNA from 1 species